rnacentral:rRNA from 1 species
GUCCACGCUGUAAACGAUGGGCACUAGGUGUUCGGGUAUUGACCCCCUGGGUGCCGCAGCUAACGCAUUAAGUGCCCCGCCUGGGGACUACGGCCGCAAGGUUAAAACUCAAAGGAAUUGACGGGGCCCGCACAAGCGGUGGAGCAUGUGGUUCAAUUCGACGCAACGCGAAGAACCUUACCUGGGCUAGACAACGUCGGACAGCCCCAGAAAUGGGGUCUUCCCGCAAGGGACUGGCGGUUCAGGUGCUGCAUGGCUGUCGU